UGUGAGUUUUUAUACCACACCUCAUGGAGCA
rnacentral:piRNA from 1 species